rnacentral:rRNA from 1 species
GAUGAACGCUGGCGGCGUGCCUAAUACAUGCAAGUCGAGCGAACAGACGAGGAGCUUGCUCCUCUGACGUUAGCGGCGGACGGGUGAGUAACACGUGGAUAACCUACCUAUAAGACUGGGAUAACUUCGGGAAACCGGAGCUAAUACCGGAUAAUAUAUUUAACCGCAUGGUUCAAUAGUGAAAGACGGUUUUGCUGUCACUUAUAGAUGGAUCCGCGCCGCAUUAGCUAGUUGGUAAGGUAACGGCUUACCAAGGCAACGAUCCGUAGCCGACCUGAGAGGGUGAUCGGCCACACUGGAACUGGGACACGGUCCAGACUCCUACGGGAGGCAGCAGUAGGGAAUCUUCCGCAAUGGGCGAAAGCCUGACGGAGCAACGCCGCGUGAGUGAUGAAGGUCUUCGGAUCGUAAAACUCUGUUAUUAGGGAAGAACAAAUGUGUAAGUAACUAUGCACGUCUUGACGGUACCUAAUCAGAAAGCCACGGCUAACUACGUG